UACGGAGGGAGCUAGCGUUGUUCGGAUAUACUGGGCGUAAAGCGCACGUAGGCGGCGCCGUAAGUCAGGGGUGAAAUCCCGGAGCUCAACUCCGGAACUGCCCUUGAAACUGCAGUGCUAGAAUCUUGGAGAGGCGAGUGGAAUUCCGAGUGUAGAGGUGAAAUUCGUAGAUAUUCGGAAGAACACCAGUGGCGAAGGCGGCUCGCUGGACAAGUAUUGACGCUGAGGUGCGAAAGCGUGGGGAGCAAACAGG
rnacentral:rRNA from 1 species